CGUCGAACGCGAAAGUCCUUCGGGGCGAGUAGAGUGGCGGACGGGUGAGUAAUACAUGGGAAUCUGCCCUUUGGUGGGGAAUAACCCGGCGAAAGCCGGGCUAAUGCCGCAUAAGAUCUUCGGAUGAAAGCGGGGGAUCGUAAGACCUCGCGCCGAUGGAUGAGCCCAUGUCGGAUUAGCUAGUUGGUGAGGUAACGGCUCACCAAGGCGACGAUCCGUAGCUGGUCUGAGAGGACGGCCAGCCACACUGGGACUGAGACACGGCCCAGUCUCCUACGGGAGGCAGCAGUGGGGAAUAUUGGACAAUGGGCGAAAGCCUGAUCCAGCGACGCCGCGUGUGUGAAGAAGGCCUGCGGGUUGUAAACCACUGUCGGAAGGGACGAAUGCCCCGCAAGGGGAGUGACGGUACCUUCAAAGGAAGCACCGGCUAACUCCGUGCCAGCAGCCGCGGUAAUACGGAGGGUGCGAGCGUUGUCCGGAAUCACUGGGCGUAAAGGGCGCGUAGGCGGCCCGGUAAGUAGGGGGUGAAAUCUUGCGGCUCAACCACAAGGCUGCCUUCUAGACUGCCAGGCUCGAGCACAGUAGAGGCAGGUGGAAUUCCACGUGUAGCAGUGAAAUGCGUAGAGAUGUGGAGGAACACCAAUGGCGAAGGCAGCCCCCUGGGUCGAUACUGACGCUCAUGCACGAAAGCGUGGGUAGCAAACAGGAUUAGAUACCCUGGUAGUCCACGCCCUAAACGAUGUCAACUAGGUGUUGGGUGGGUAAAACCAUUUAGUACCGUAGCUAACGCGUGAAGUUGACCGCCUGGGGAGUACGGCCGCAAGGUUAAAACUCAAAGGAAUUGACGGGGACCCGCACAAGCGGUGGAUGAUGUGGAUUUAAUUCGAUGCAACGCGAAAAACCUUA
rnacentral:rRNA from 1 species